CAGUAGCCACGGUAAUACGGAGGGUGCAAGCGUUAUCCGGAUUCACUGGGUUUAAAGGGUGCGUAGGCGGAUCUGUAAGUCAGUGGUGAAAUCUCCAGGCUUAACCUGGAAACUGCCGUUGAUACUAUAGGUCUUGAAUUUUGUGGAGGUUAGCGGAAUAUGUCAUGUAGCGGUGAAAUGCAUAGAUAUGACAUAGAACACCAAUUGCGAAGGCAGCUGGCUACACAACUAUUGACGCUGAGGCACGAAAGCAUGGGGAUCAAACAGGAUUAGAUACCCCCGUAGUCCCUGUCUCUUAUAC
rnacentral:rRNA from 1 species